rnacentral:rRNA from 1 species
AUUGAACGCUGGCGGCAUGCUUUACACAUGCAAGUCGAACGGUAACAGGUCUUCGGAUGCUGACGAGUGGCGAACGGGUGAGUAAUACAUCGGAACGUGCCUAGUAGUGGGGGAUAACUACUCGAAAGAGUAGCUAAUACCGCAUGAGAUCUACGGAUGAAAGCAGGAGACCUUCGGGCCUUGUGCUACUAGAGCGGCUGAUGGCAGAUUAGGUAGUUGGUGGGGUAAAGGCUUACCAAGCCUGCGAUCUGUAGCUGGUCUGAGAGGACGACCAGCCACACUGGGACUGGGGCACGGCCCAGACUCCUACGGGAGGCAGCAGUGGGGAAUUUUGGACAAUGGGCGAAAGCCUGAUCCAGCAAUGCCGCGUGCAGGAUGAAGGCCCUCUGGUUGUAAACUGCUUUUGUACGGAACGAAAAGCCUGGGGCUAAUAUCCCCGGGUCAUGACGGCACCGUAAGAAUAAGCACCGGCUAACUACGUGCCAGCCGCCGCAGUAA